rnacentral:rRNA from 1 species
AGGGGUAUAGUUCUUCGGAGCUAGAGACCGGCGCACGGGUGCGUAACGCGUAUGCAAUCUACCUUUUACAGAGGGAUAGCCCAGAGAAAUUUGGAUUAAUACCUCAUAGUAUGUGAGAAUCGCAUGGUUUUCACAUUAAAGUUCAACGGUAAAAGAUGAGCAUGCGUCCCAUUAGCUAGAUGGUAAGGUAACGGCUUACCAUGGCGACGAUGGGUAGGGGUCCUGAGAGGGAGAUCCCCCACACUGGUACUGAGACACGGACCAGACUCCUACGGGAGGCAGCAGUGAGGAAUAUUGGACAAUGGGCGCAAGCCUGAUCCAGCCAUGCCGCGUGCAGGAUGACGGUCCUAUGGAUUGUAAACUGCUUUUGUACAGGAAGAAACACUCCCUCGUGAGGGAGCUUGACGGUACUGUAAGAAUAAGGAUCGGCUAACUCCGUGCCAGCAGCCGCGGUAAUACGGAGGAUCCAAGCGUUAUCCGGAAUCAUUGGGUUUAAAGGGUCCGUAGGCGGUUUAAUAAGUCAGUGGUGAAAGCCCAUCGCUCAACGGUGGAACGGCCAUUGAUACUGUUAAACUUGAAUUAUUAGGAAGUAACUAGAAUAUGUAGUGUAGCGGUGAAAUGCUUAGAGAUUACAUGGAAUACCAAUUGCGAAGGCAGGUUACUACUAAUGGAUUGACGCUGAUGGACGAAAGCGUGGGUAGCGAACAGGAUUAGAUACCCUGGUAGUCCACGCCGUAAACGAUGGAUACUAGCUGUUGGGCGCAAGUUCAGUGGCUAAGCGAAAGUGAUAAGUAUCCCACCUGGGGAGUACGU